UUAAAUUAGUAAGAGCGUACGGUGGAUGUCUUGGCAUAUAGAGCAGAAGAAGGACGCAGAUAACGGCGAAACGCCUCGGGGAGUCGUACACAGGCAACGAUCCGGGGGUAUCCGAAUGGGGAAACCCGAUAAAGUUGAAAAGCUUUAUCAUCCUUAAGCCAAUACAUAACUUAAGAGAAGGCAACCCAGGGAAUUGAAACAUCUUAGUACCUGGAGGAGAAGAAAAUAACAAUGAUUCCGAGAGUAGUGGCGAGCGAAAUCGGAGCAGCCCAAACCAGCAACGAGCUGGGGUAGUAGGACCACGACAAGUGAUUGAAAAGAGAUAGUCGAAUGGCAUUGAAAGGUCAGCCGCAGAAGGUGCAAGCCCUGUAGGCGAAAUCUCGAUUCACGCGAGUGGGAUCCUGAGUACGUCGGAGCACGUGAAACUCUGACGGAAUCGACCGGGACCAUCCGGUAAGGCUAAAUACUCCUAUAUGACCGAUAGUGAACCAGUACCAUGAGGGAAAGAUGAAAAGAACCGCGGGAGCGGAGUGAAAUAUACAUGCGAGGUUAAGCAGACAAUGCGGAGCCGUAGCGAAAGCGAAUCUUAAUAGGGUGAGUAGUAUGUAGAGAUAGACCCGAAGCCGUAGUGAUCUAGUCAUGAGCAGGUUGAAGGCUGGGUGAAUCCAGCUGGAGGACCGAACCGACCCCCGUUGAAAAGUUGGCGGAUGACUUGUGAUUAGCGGAGAAAUUCCAAUCGAACACGGCGAUAGCUGGUUCUCCCCGAAAUAGCUUUAGGGCUAGCGUUGAACGAAUCUACCCGGAGGUAGAGCACUGAAAUCAUGCGGGCGGCAUCUCGCCGUACCAAAUGAUAUCAAACUCCGAAUGCCGGGCAAGAAUAUUCAGCAGUCAGACUGUGGGUGAUAAGGUCCAUGGUCAAAAGGGAAACAGCCCAGAUCAUCAGAUAAGGUCCCAAAAUUUACGCUAAGUGGAAAAGGAUGUGGAGACGCGCAAACAGCUAGGAGGUUGGCUCAGAAGCAGCCAUCCUUCAAAGAGUGCGUAACAGCUCACUAGUCGAGUAUCUCUGCGCCGAAAAUUAACCGGGGCUAAGCGUAAUACCGAAUCUAUGGAUUUAUACUUAGGUAUAAGUGGUAGGGGAGCGUUCCAUACAGCAUUGAAGGUAUACCGUAAGGAGUGCUGGAGCGUAUGGAAGUGAGAAUGCCGGUGUGAGUAGCGAGAUGUGGGUGAGAAUCCCACACACCGAACAACCAAGGUUUCCAGGGGAAGGUUCGUCCGCCCUGGGUAAGUCGGGACCUAAGGCCAGGCCGAAAGGCGUAGUCGAUGGACAGCAGGUUGAUAUUCCUGCACCCGCGAGUAAAGUGAUGGAGUGACAGAUAGGGUUAACCCAAGUCCUUAAUGGAUUGGGCAAGGCAAGCAGGAGAGUGGCGUAGGCAAAUCCGCGCCGGAUACUCAAAGGCUUGACUCAAGCGAACGCGCGAGCAAGUAGUGAAGAGGGUGAUACCAGGUCUCAAGAAAAGCUUCUAGCGAUAAUUUACUAGCGGCCCGUACCAAAACCGACACAGGUGGUUGAGGCGAGUAGCCUAAGGUGAGCGAGAGAACUGUUGCCAAGGAACUCGGCAAAUUGACCCCGUACGUUAGCAAUAAGGGGUGCUCGAAAGAGCCGCAGUGAAUAGGCCCUAGCAACUGUUUAACUAAAACAUAGCUCUCUGCGAAGUCGCAAGACGAAGUAUAGGGGGUGACACCUGCCCGGUGCUGGAAGGUCAAGGGGAUUUGUCAGACGCAAGUCGAAGCAUUGAACCGAAGCCCCAGUGAACGGCGGCCGUAACUAUAACGGUCCUAAGGUAGCGAAAUUCCUUGUCAGGUAAGUUCUGACCCGCACGAAAGGUGUAAUGAUUUGGGCACUGUCUCGGCAGCAGACUCGGUGAAAUCUUAGUACCUGUGAAGAUGCAGGUUACCCGCAACUAGACGGAAAGACCCCAUGGAGCUUUACUGUAGUCUGCUAUUGAGUUUCGGUUAAGUAUGCACAGGAUAGGUGGGAGACGAUGAGACUGGUCUUUCGGGAUCAGAGGAGUCACUGUUGGGAUACCACUCUUACUUAAUUGAAAUUCUAACUCUAAGCCGUGAUCCGGCUAGAGGACCGUGGCAGAUGGGCAGUUUGACUGGGGCGGUCGCCUCCCAAAGAGUAACGGAGGCGCACAAAGGUACUCUCAGAAUGGUUGGAAAUCAUUCAACGAGCGCAAACGCAGAAGAGUGCUUGACUGCGAGACAAACAAGUCGAGCAGGGACGAAAGUCGGUGUUAGUGAUCCGGCGGUGCAGAAUGGAAUGGCCGUCGCUUAACGGAUAAAAGCUACCCUGGGGAUAACAGGCUGAUCUCGCCCAAGAGUUCACAUCGACGGCGAGGUUUGGCACCUCGAUGUCGGCUCAUCGCAUCCUGGAGGUGAAUUCGCUUCCAAGGGUUGGGCUGUCCGCCCAUUAAAGCGGUACGCGAGCUGGGUUCAGAACGUCGUGAGACAGUUCGGUCCCUAUCUGUUGUGGGCGUUGGAAAUUUGAGGAGAGCUGCCCCUAGUACGAGAGGACCAGGGUGGACGUUCCUACGGUGCACCAGUUGUCACGCCAGUGGCAUAGCUGGAUAGCUGAGAACGGACCGGAUAAACGCUGAAGGCAUCUAAGCGUGAAACCGACUCCAAGAUUAGAUUUCCCAUCAUUUCAAAUGAAUAAGACCCCUUGAAGACGACGAGGUUGAUAGGUCAGAGAUGUAAGUGUAGCGAUACAUUCAGUUGACUGAUACUAAUAGGUCGAAGAUUUAUUCAC
rnacentral:rRNA from 1 species